rnacentral:rRNA from 1 species
CGGAAUUCGAUAAAGUUGAUCCUGGCUCAGAACGAACGCUGGCGGCAGGCUUAACACAUGCAAGUCGAACGCACCGCAAGGUGAGUGGCAGACGGGUGAGUAACGCGUGGGAACGUGCCCUUCAGUUCGGGAUAACCCAGGGAAACUUGGGCUAAUACCGGAUACGUGCGAGAGCAGAAAGAUUUAUCGCUGAAGGAUCGGCCCGCGUCUGAUUAGCUAGUUGGUGGGGUAAUGGCCCACCAAGGCGACGAUCAGUAGCUGGUCUGAGAGGAUGAUCAGCCACAUUGGGACUGAGACACGGCCCAAACUCCUACGGGAGGCAGCAGUGGGGAAUAUUGGACAAUGGGCGCAAGCCUGAUCCAGCCAUGCCGCGUGAGUGAUGAAGGCCUUAGGGUUGUAAAGCUCUUUCGCACGCGACGAUAAUGACGGUAGCGUGAGAAGAAGCCCCG